GGGUUGUGAGGUUAAGCGACUAAGCGUACACGGUGGAUGCCCUGGCAGUCAGAGGCGAUGAAGGGCGUGCUAAUCUGCGAUAAGCGCCGGUAAGGUGAUAUGAACCGUUAUAACCGGCGAUACCCGAAUGGGGAAACCCAGUGUGACUCGUCACACUAUCAUUAACUGAAUCCAUAGGUUAAUGAGGCGAACCGGGGGAACUGAAACAUCUAAGUACCCCGAGGAAAAGAAAUCAACCGAGAUUCCCCCAGUAGCGGCGAGCGAACGGGGAGGAGCCCAGAGCCUGAAUCAGCAUGUGUGUUAGUGGAAGCGUCUGGAAAGGCGCGCGAUACAGGGUGACAGCCCCGUACACAAAAGCGCAUAUGCUGUGAGCUCGAUGAGUAGGGCGGGACACGUGGUAUCCUGUCUGAAUAUGGGGGGACCAUCCUCCAAGGCUAAAUACUCCUGACUGACCGAUAGUGAACCAGUACCGUGAGGGAAAGGCGAAAAGAACCCCGGCGAGGGGAGUGAAAAAGAACCUGAAACCGUGUACGUACAAGCAGUGGGAGCCCCACCACUAAGCCAGUGGUGAACUCCACAUACGCAUCCUUUGCUGAGGAUACGGUUAACGGAGCGAAAGCGACGUUCAACCGCAAAAGAAGCAGAGGGGGCUUAGUGGUGG
rnacentral:rRNA from 1 species